UACGUAGGUGGCAAGCGUUGUCCGGAUUUAUUGGGUUUAAAGGGUGCGUAGGCGGCCUAUUAAGUCAGUGCUGAAAUAUCCCGGCUUAACCGGGAGGGUGGCAUUGAUACUGAUGGGCUAGAGUACAGAUGAGGUAGGCGGAAUUGACGGUGUAGCGGUGAAAUGCUUAGAUAUCGUCAAGAACACCUAUAGCGAAGGCAGCUUACUAGGCUGUAACUGACGCUGAGGCACGAAAGUGUGGGGAUCAAACAGGAUUAGAAACCCCCGUAGUCC
rnacentral:rRNA from 1 species